AACGAACGCUGGCGGCAGGCCUAACACAUGCAAGUCGAACGGGUGUAGCAAUACAUCAGUGGCGCACGGGAGAGUAACGCGUGGGAACCUACCCUUUGGUUCGGAAUAACGUCGGGAAACUGACGCUAACACCGGAUAAGCCCUACGGGGGAAAGAUUUAUCGCCGAAAGAUGGGCCGGCGUUAGAUUAGAUUGUUGGUGAGGUAACGGCUCACCAAGGCUACGAUCUAUAGCUGGUCUAAGAGGAUGAUCAGCCUCACUGGGACUGAGACACGGCCCAGACUCCUACGGGAGGCAGCAGUGGGGAAUAUUGGACAAUGGGGGCAACCCUGAUCCAGCCAUGCCGCGUGAAUGAUGAAGGCCUUCGGGUUGUAAAGUUCUUUUGGCGGGGACGAUGAUGACGGUACCCGCAGAAUAAGCUCCGGCUAACUUCGUGCCAGCAGCCGCCGCCG
rnacentral:rRNA from 1 species